rnacentral:tRNA from 1 species
GUCAAGUGGUUAAGACACCGCCCUUUCACGGCGGUAACAUGGGUUCAAAUCCCGUACGG